UACGUAGGGUGCGAGCGUUGUCCGGAAUUACUGGGCGUAAAGAGCUCGUAGGUGGUUUGUCGCGUCGUCUGUGAAAUUCCGGGGCUUAACUCCGGGCGUGCAGGCGAUACGGGCAAUACUUGAGUGCUGUAGGGGAGACUGGAAUUCCUGGUGUAGCGGUGAAAUGCGCAGAUAUCAGGAGGAACACCAAUGGCGAAGGCAGGUCUCUGGGCAGUAACUGACGCUGAGGAGCGAAAGCAUGGGUAGCGAACAGGAUUAGA
rnacentral:rRNA from 1 species